CACCUGUCCGUCUCCUGAGUGCUGGGAUUAAAAGCUGUGUGCCACCACCUCCUGGCUACUACUAGUCUUUUAAAGAAAGUUAUUUUCAUGUUUUCAGGCUUUUGGCCCCAAACACCAUUAUCCCAUCUUCGGGUGUAAAACAACUAUAUAGUUUAGUUCAUUGUGUCAGACAACCCACUCAGCCACUCUCUCAUUUACACUUCCUCACUCAGCAUCUUUACUCUGAUUUUUAUAGACAGAGGAGAGCAGAAUUUGAACCAUAAAUGAUGCAGCUGCCCCACCCCGCCCCGCCUCGCCCUCUGCUGGUCAAAAGGUGGCGUUGCUGGCUCACCGUUGUUUGUGUAGAACUGUCCUGCAACGUCCAUUCCACCCCAUUUCCUUGUAUGGUGGACCUCGGGCUAGAGAGAUAGAUGGUUCAUUGCAGAUGGUUCCAUCCCAGCACUCACAUGGUGGCUCACAAGUGUCUUCAAAGCCAAUUCUGGGGAUCCAGUGCUCUCCAAAGACACAGGCCUACAUUAAGGUGGCCUGAGCCUCUCCCAGCUCAUGUGAGACAAGCACAGGACACAGAAGCUUAAAGACCAUGCUGGAAACACCCAGCAAGACUGGUUCCCUUAUCUUCUGAUGGCGGCGCCUCCAGCCUCAGCCUCCCUGACAUGGGUUUGCUCAAGUCCCUUCCACAGUGUUGUUUCUCCACCUCUCCCUGCAGCUGCUUUUGGAUCAGCUCUGUCAUGACAGCUGACAGCCUCCUGGGGGUGGAUCGCUGGGCUUCAAGCUCUGGAAGGCACCGAGCUCCCCAUAUUGGCCCUGCAGGAAGGACAGAACUUCUAUGCAGCCCUUUGAGCACCACAGCCUCUCCUCAUCCAGAAGAGCCACUCCCUAGGAAGACCCCAGAUCCUCCAUCCCAAACACUCUCACUUAUUGGUUGAAAAGUAGUAUCCCCUGGAGCAUGCAGCUGGGGAGCCCUGCUUCACAGUCAUCACCCUGGGGAGCCAACUAUUCAUCGCCCUGUGCUCUCAGAGCUUCUGGAAGGAUCCAUAAAUCACUCACAUGUCAAUUGUGCACUUAGUAAAAAAAAAUUUUUUCCUCCGAGACAGGGUUUCUCUGUGGCUGUGGAGGCUGUCCUGGAACUCGCUUUGUAGACCAGGCUGGCCUCGAACUCACA
rnacentral:lncRNA from 1 species